GUUCAAUUAACUAUGGACGUGAAUGUACGUUUUUUCUAAACAUUGAGUAACACUCGCAUUAAUAACCAUUUGCGUCUCGCGCAGACACUACGUAACUCGUAAAUACCAAGAGAUCGCCUAUACACGACUACUAUAAAACGGUCGGUAUCCAAUCCUUUCAACACUUACGUAUUUUUGGUUGAAAACAACUCAUUCUUAUAUCGAUCAGAACACGAGAUUAGAAAUUACUUAUAUAUUGCUCCUUUGAAAAUGUAGAGGACCG